rnacentral:rRNA from 1 species
UAGUCCACGCCCUAAACGAUGCUAACUCGAUGUUUGGAUUUAAUUUGAGCAUCCAAGGGAAACCGUUAAGUUAGCCACCUGGGGAGUACGUCGGCAACGAUGAAACUCAAAGGAAUUGACGGGGGUCCGCACAAGCGAUGGAGCAUGUGGUUUAAUUCGAUGAUACGCGAGGAACCUUACCUAGGCUCUAAUGCUAUGUGACAGAUUCUGAAAGGAAUUUUCNCUUCGGAGCAGAUAGCAAGGUGCCGCAUGGUUGUCGUCAGCUCGUGCCGUGAGGUGUUGGGUUAAGUCCCGCAACGAGCGCAACCCUUAUUCUUAGUUGCCAGCACAUAAUGGUGGGGACUCUAGGAAGACUGCCGGCGUAAGCCGAGAGGAAGGUGGGGACGACGUCAAAUCAUCAUGGCCUUUAUGCCUAGGGCUACACACGUGCUACAAUGGUGCAUACAACGGGCAGCGAAAUCGCGAGGUGGAGCUAAUCUUGUAAAGUGCAUCCCAGUUC